rnacentral:rRNA from 1 species
AUUGAACGCUGGCGGCAUGCUUUACACAUGCAAGUCGAACGGUAACAGGUUAAGCUGACGAGUGGCGAACGGGUGAGUAAUGCAUCGGAACGUGCCCGAACGUGGGGGAUAACGCAGCGAAAGCUGCGCUAAUACCGCAUACGAUCUGACGAUGAAAGCGGGGGACCGUAAGGCCUCGCGCGAUCGGAGCGGCCGAUGUCAGAUUAGGGAGUUGGUGGGGUAAAGGCUCACCAAGCCAACGAUAUGUAGCUGGUCGGAGAGGACGACCAGCCACACUGGGACGGAGACACGGCCAAGACCCCGACGGGAGGCGGAAGUGGGGAAUUUUGGACAAUGGGCGAAAGCCUGAUGCAGCAAUGCCGCGUGCAGGAAGAAGGCCUUCGGGUGGUAAACGGCUUUUGUACGGAGCGAAAAGGCGCUCGCUAAUACAGGGGGCUCAUGACGGUACCGUAAGAAUAAGCACCGGCUAACUACGUGCCAGCCGCCGCCGUAA